ACACGCAUGACACACUGCAUAUCAAUAAGCGGAGGAAAAGAAACUAACAUAGGAUUCCCUCAGUAACGGCGAGUGAAGCGGGAAGAGCUCAAAUUUGAAAUCUUCAAGGUUCUACCUUGACGAAUUGUAGUUUAUAGAAGUGUUUUCUGUUAGUAGAGUUUGGUAAAAGUUCUUUGGAAUAGGACAUCAUAGAGGGUGAGAAUCCCGUAUUUGGACCAUUAUUUCCAGCUUUGUGAUACACUUUCAAAGCGAGUCGGAUUGUUUGGGAAUGCAGUCCAAAAUGGGUGGUAAAUUUCAUCUAAAGCUAAAUACUGGCGAGAGACCGAUAGCGAACAAGUACCGUGAGGGAAAGAUGAAAAGAACUUUGAAAAGAGAGUUAAACAGUACGUGAAAUUGUCAAAAGGGAAGCGUUUGACACCAGUGUUGUUUUCUCGAAAAUCAAUUAAAAAUGGUGGGAUGUUGUGUUGUAUUGACUUUAUCAGCUUUCUGCACUUUUUUUCCUAUCUUUUUUAAUGCACUUUUCGUUUAACAAGUCAACAUCAAUUUCUUUUGUUGUAAAAGAGUCAUUGGAAGGUGGCUUUCUUUUCGGAGAAAGUGUUUAUAGCCUUUGGCUUCUGCAAUCGGAGAGAUUGAGGUCUGCAGCGUAGAUCCUUCGGGGUUAGAUGACAUUUGUGCUAAGUUAUAGCCUUUCAUAGACAACUUGUUGACUAUGAUCAGUCAUGUAGCUUACUCGCUUAUGCUAUUUUACCUACGCUUAGGAUGUUGAGUCGUAGAGCACGCAG
rnacentral:rRNA from 1 species